GUGAUUUCUAACCUCACUGGAUUAUCUGUCCUCAAACACUUUUUCCCUCCUGUUUUAUUUGUCUUCUAUACAGGCUGCUGGAAGAUUGUCAUCCAAAUAAUCAGCACCGCUUUCUGCACAGCACCUCUAAGGCUUCUAACUGGCCAGGAGGGGCGCCAUCAGCAUCCUGAUUUCAUGGGAAACAGAGCAGUUGUGGAAACAAAGAUUCACUGAGAAGGAAGAAUUUACUGAAUUCUCGUCGUUGGAAUCAACAGGGCCAGGUCUCACAGCCAGGCCACCGGAGGCCUCUUCACACAGAACGGGAAGCCAGGACCUGAGAGAAGCUGGAAGUCCUGAUGUCAACCAUCCUGGAGUCCCUGCCCAGGGGAGGGUGUGAUUAUAAGACAUGAACUCAUGCUAGCUGGAAUGUUCUGGUCACAUGAGGCAGGGUCACCCAGACUUAAACAAUCAGGGAGGACUACUCAGGAGUAUCAGGCAGAGCCAGGACUGAGCUGAGGCCAGGCUUCCGGAAGGGCAGGGUUGUGGUUGGGAGGUACCUGGGCUUUGUCUUGUUUGUGGAGACCGGCUUCUGUGGUACCCAGUGUAAUGGGACAUACUU